rnacentral:lncRNA from 1 species
CAAGAGUAAGCUAUGUGAGGUCGAUGGCGAUGCUUAAAAAGCAAUCGACUUACAAGGGUGUAAAAAAUGGGCUCGAUAUUAAAUCGAGAAAAACAUGAUUUUUAUAGUUUUAAAAAUGGUUUUGAAUUAAAAUACAACAACUUUACAUUAUUAACAAAAUGAACAUAUGAGUGUAAUAAAGGCAUAAACAUAAAAAGAGACUAAAAUGCUAAAAGAAAAAAUAAUAUAGCUAAAAGAAAUAAAAUGCCAAAAAAGGUCACACAUGAGUAUUGAACCCACCCCACUCAAGAGCAUACACACUACCCUUCUCCACCAGACCACUCAUCAUUAUCUGCUACUGAGAUACUACGUUAAAUAUAUGAACCGGGCUAAAAAAAUAAAAAGAUUUUAAAAAAAACAAAAUAAACAUUUUUAUGGUUUUUGUGUUAAAAACAAAUUAAAUAAUAAAAGAAAAAAUUAAAAAAAAAAGAAAAAAAGAAAAUGGAAACACAGAGGUUCGUCUUCAUCGCCAUCGUCCUCCCCACCUCACGAACUCAACCUUCCCAAACUCACUCCUUCACUCUCUCUUCUCUCGGUAAUGUUCAUCAACACUCACCAAACUUCACAUUUCUCUCAAUCCCACUCUCGUUCUCAACGAACCCCUCUCAAUCACUCUCAGC